GAUGAACGCUGGCGGCGUGCCUAAUACAUGCAAGUCGAGCGAACGGACGAGAAGCUUGCUUCUCUGAUGUUAGCGGCGGACGGGUGAGUAACACGUGGAUAACCUACCUAUAAGACUGGGAUAACUUCGGGAAACCGGAGCUAAUACCGGAUGAUAUUUUGAACCGCAUGGUUCAAAAGUGAAAGACGGUCUUGCUGUCACUUAUAGAUGGAUCCGCGCUGCAUUAGCUAGUUGGUAAGGUAAUGGCUUACCAAGGCAACGAUGCAUAGCCGACCUGAGAGGGUGAUCUGCCACACUGGAACUGAGACACGGUCCAGACUCCUACGGGAGGCAGCAGUAGGGAAUCUUCCGCAAUGGGCGAAAGCCUGACGGAGCAACGCCGCGUGAGUGAUGAAGGUCUUCGGAUCGUAAAACUCUGUUAUUAGGGAAGAACAUAUGUGUAAGUAACUGUGCACAUCUUGACGGUACCUAAUCAGAAAGCCACGGCUAACUACGUG
rnacentral:rRNA from 1 species